AGAUGGGGAGGAACACCAUUGGCGAAGGGGACUUUCUUGGGCGUAAUGACGUGGAGGCGGAAAAGCGUGGGGAGCAAAACAGGAUUAGUUACCCUGUUAGUCCCCGCCGUAAACGAUGAUGCUAGGUGUUAGGGGUUUCAAUAUCCGUUGGUGCCGAAGUUAACACAUUAAGCAUUUCCGCCUGGGGAGUACGCUCGCAAGAGUGAAAUCUCAAAGGAAUUGACGGGGACCCGCACAAGCAGUGGAGUAUGUGGUUUAAUUCGAAGCAACGCGAAGAACCUUACCAGCUCUUGACAUCCCGAUGUAAGCAUUAGAGAUAGUGCCCCUCUUCGGAGCAUUGGAGACAGGUGGUGCAUGGUUGUCGUCAGCUCGUGUCGUGAGAUGUUGGGUUAAGUCCCGCAACGAGCGCAACCCUUGAUCUUAGUUGCCAGCAGGUUAAGCUGGGCACUCUAAGGUGACUGCCGGUGACAAACCGGAGGAAGGUGGGGAUGACGUCAAAUCAUCAUGCCCCUUAUGAGCUGGGCUACACACGUACUACAAUGGCCGGUACAACGGGCUGCGAAACCGCGAGGUGGAGCGAAUCCUUAAAAGCCGGUCUCAGUUCGGAUUGCAGGCUGCAACUCGCCUGCAUGAAGUCGGAAUUGCUAGUAAUCGCGGAUCAGCAUGCCGCGGUGAAUACGUUCCCGGGUCUUGUACACACCGCCCGUCACACCACGAGAGUUUACAACACCCGAAGUCGGUGGGGUAACCCGCAAGGGAGCCAGCCGCCGAAGGUGGGGUAGAUGAUUGGGGUGAAGUCGUAACAAGGUAACCGUA
rnacentral:rRNA from 1 species